rnacentral:rRNA from 1 species
AUUGUACGCUGGCGGCAGGCUUAACACAUGCAAGUCGAGCGGUAGCACAAGAGAGCUUGCUCUCUGGGCGACGAGCGGCGGACGGGUGAGUAAUGUCUGGGAAACUGCCUGAUGGAGGGGGAUAACUACUGGAAACGGUAGCUAAUACCGCAUAACGUCGCAAGACCAAAGAGGGGGACCUUCGGGCCUCUUGCCAUCAGAUGUGCCCAGAUGGGAUUAGCUAGUAGGUGGGGUAAUGGCUCACCUAGGCGACGAUCCCUAGCUGGUCUGAGAGGAUGACCAGCCACACUGGAACUGAGACACGGUCCAGACUCCUACGGGAGGCAGCAGUGGGGAAUAUUGCACAAUGGGCGCAAGCCUGAUGCAGCCAUGCCGCGUGUGUGAAGAAGGCCUUCGGGUUGUAAAGCACUUUCAGCGAGGAGGAAGGUGGUGAACUUAAUACGUUCAUCAAUUGACGUUACUCGCAGAAGAAGCACCGGCUAACUCCGUG